rnacentral:rRNA from 1 species
UACAGAGACUGCAAGCGUUAUUCGGAUUCACUGGGCGUAAAGGGUGCGCAGGCGGCCGGGUGUGUCAGAUGUGAAAUCCCGAGGCUUAACCUCGGAACUGCGUCUGAAACUACUCGGCUAGAGUACUGGAGAGGGAAACGGAAUUCACGGUGUAGCAGUGAAAUGCGUAGAUAUCGUGAGGAACACCAGUGGCGAAGGCGGCUCACUGGCCCGAUACUGACGCUGAGGCACGAAAGCGUGGGGAGCAAACAGG